ensembl:snoRNA
UUGCCCUGUGAUUAGAAAUUGACAACACGAGGACAAAUACUGGAGACUUGCACUCCUUUUGCUCUUCAACUCUUCUUUCUCUCCCAAACCCCUCUGUCCCAAACCCUUACUCUUCCUGUGGGUCUCCGGUGUCCAGUGAGAGUCUGAUUAUGAGAUAUGAGGGCCU